AAAGAGUAGUUAUGGUCAGAAGCACAAAUAUUGCAAAGCUGGACAUGAUGGAGAUUAUUACAGUCAUGGAGUAUGUAGGUGAGACAGAGAAGGAGGAGGAGGAGGAAGAAGGUAAAUUUGGAAUGUCCACGCUUGGCUUUGAGGAUGUCAUUGGUGGGAAUGCUAUAAAAAGAAUUAAAGUGAAUGAACUAAAUAUUUUACCCAUGGCAUUGGAAAAGAGACAAAAACUACAGAAAAGAAAGAAUGAGUCUGAAGAUGUAGCUUAGAAACCAACCUACACAAGAGACCUAGAUGACUCAAACCUUCUGACACACCUGCCCCUGUGGACUGAACAGAUGGAAGGAGACAUCAUGAAAUCCCUCCAGAG